rnacentral:rRNA from 1 species
UACAAAGGGGGCUAGCGUUGCUCGGAAUUAUUGGGCGUAAAGAGCUCGUAGGCGGCUUGUCACGUCGGGUGUGAAAGCCCGGGGCUUAACCCCGGGUCUGCAUUCGAUACGGGCUAGCUAGAGUGUGGUAGGGGAGAUCGGAAUUCCUGGUGUAGCGGUGAAAUGCGCAGAUAUCAGGAGGAACACCGGUGGCGAAGGCGGAUCUCUGGGCCAUUACUGACGCUGAGGAGCGAAAGCGUGGGGAGCGAACAGG